rnacentral:tRNA from 1 species
GCCCACUUAGCUUAGUAGUAGAGCGUGCCACUCAUAAUGGUAAGGUCAGUUGUUCGAUACAGCCAGCAGGCA